rnacentral:rRNA from 1 species
CUACGGGUUGCACCAGUGGGGGAUAUUGCACAAUGGGCGAAAGCCUGAUGCAGCAACGCCGCGUGAAGGAAGACGGUUUUCGGAUUGUAAACUUCUAUCAGCAGGGAAGAAAAUGACUGUACCUGACUAAGAAGCCCCGGCUAACUACGUGCCAGCAGUCGCGGUAAUACGUAGGGGGCAAGCGUUAUCCGGAAUUACUGGGUGUAAAGGGUACGUAGGCGGCUGAUCAAGUCAGAUGUGAAAGCCCGGAGCUCAACUCCGGGACUGCAUUUGAAACUGGUCGGCUAGAGUGCAGGAGAGGAAAGUGGAAUUCCUAGUGUAGCGGUGAAAUGCGUAGAUAUUAGGAAGAACACCAGUGGCGAAGGCGGCUUUCUGGACUGUAACCGACGCUGAGGUACGAAAGCGUGGGGAGCGAACAGGAUUAGAUACCCUGGUAGUC